rnacentral:rRNA from 1 species
AUGGGCAAAGGCAAUUGGAGCACAUAUCUGUCAAGUUAUGCUCACCUCAACGCCCAAGACAUUCAUUCUGGUUUUUUAAACCGUCUGUACGCAAGCCGCAACUUUGAAGCCGGCUUAGUAAAUCUAAUGAAGGAGCAAUAUGAGGCUGAGCUGAGCAAAAAGGAAGCUCAAACCGCUGAUCUGCAAGAAAACAUCAAGUCCCAGCAAGGCGAAACCUCCAAAGCCAAGGAUGAGUUGUCCGGCGCUUUAGCCGCUAUGGAAAAACUGAAGGAGAGUUUCAACAAAGAGCGGGCGGAUUGGGACACAGAAAAAUCCGCUUUACAAAAAAGAGCCGAGGAUGCCGAAGCCGCUCUUAAACCGGUGGUAGAUGAGCUGACUGGCGUAAAGCGGCAGAUACAUGCCAUGACUGCUGUUGUGUUCGGAACUCGCAUUGGUCAUCUGGGCUCUGACGUACAGAAGAAGCUGAAGGCUCCCUACACUUUGAUAGAGCAGUUGUAUACCGGCGUGCAACGAAUCAUCUGCACCGCUUCUCACAAUAAACCGCCCCAACGUUAA